AAUAUUGGACAAUGGGGGGAACCCUGAUCCAGCAAUGCCGCGUGUGUGAAGAAGGUCUUGGGAUUGUAAAGCACUUUAAGUUGGGAGGAAGGGCAGUAAGUUAAUAUCUUGCUGUUUUGACGUUACCGACAGAAUAAGCACCGGCUAACUUCGUGCCAGCAGCCGCGGUAAUACGAAGGGUGCAUGCGUUAAUCGGAAUUACUGGGCGUAAAGCGCUGUUAAGUGAGUCGAUAAGUUGGAAGAGAAAGCCCCGGGCUUAACCUGGGAAUUGCUUUCAAAACUGACGAGCUAGAGUACGGUAGAGGGUAGUGGAAUUUCCUGUGUAGCGGUGAAAUGCGUAGAUAUAGGAAGGAACAUCAGUGGCGAAGGCGACUACCUGGACUGAUACUGACACUGAGGUGCGAAAGCGUGGGGAGCAAACAGG
rnacentral:rRNA from 1 species